AGUGAACGCUGGCGGUAGGCCUAACACAUGCAAGUCGAACGGCAGCACAGUAAGAGCUUGCUCUUACGGGUGGCGAGUGGCGGACGGGUGAGGAAUACAUCGGAAUCUACUUUUUCGUGGGGGAUAACGUAGGGAAACUUACGCUAAUACCGCAUACGACCUACGGGUGAAAGCAGGGGGUCUUCGGACCUUGCGCGAUUGAAUGAGCCGAUGUCGGAUUAGCUAGUUGGCGGGGUAAAGGCCCACCAAGGCGACGAUCCGUAGCUGGUCUGAGAGGAUGAUCAGCCACACUGGAACUGAGACACGGUCCAGACUCCUACGGGAGGCAGCAGUGGGGAAUAUUGGACAAAGGGCGCAAGCCUGAUCCAGCCAUACCGCGUGGGUUAAGAAGGCCUUCGGGUUGUAAAGCCCUUUUGUUGGGAAAGAAAAGCAGCAGGUUAAUACCCCGCUGUUCUGACGGUACCCAAAGAAUAAGCACCGGCUAACUUCGUG
rnacentral:rRNA from 1 species